rnacentral:ncRNA from 1 species
GCCGGGAGGGCGACGGAUACAACACCCCGCAAGGGGAAAGAAGUCCGCCUAGCGUAUCCUAGGUUUCUAGCCUCCCGGCCGCCUUGU